rnacentral:piRNA from 1 species
UUUAUUAUAGAUUUUUUUACA